AGUGAACGCUGGCGGUAGGCCUAACACAUGCAAGUCGAACGGCAGCACAGUAAGCGCUCGCUCUUACGAGUGGCGAGUGGCGGACGGGUGAGGCAUACAUCGGCAUCUACUUUUUCGUGGGGGAUAUCGUAGGGCAACUUAUGCUAAUACCGCAUACGACCUACGGGUGAAAGCAGGGGAUCUUCAGACCUUGCGCGCAUGCAUGAGCCGAUGUCGGAUUAGCUAGUUGGCGGGGUAAAGGCCCACCAAGGCGACGAUCCGUAGCUAGUCUGAGAGGAGGAUCGGCAGCACUGGAACUGAAACACGGUCCAGACUCCUACGGGAGGCAGCGGUGGGGAAUAUUGGACAAUGGGCGAAAGCCUGAUCCAGCCAUACCGCGUGGGUGAAGAAGGCCUUCGGGUUGUAAAGCCCUUUUGUUGGGAAAGAAGAGCAGCAGGUUAAUACCCCGCUGUUCUGACGGUACCCAAAGAAUAAGCACCGGCUAACUUCGUG
rnacentral:rRNA from 1 species